GAUGAACGCUGGCGGCGUGCCUAAUACAUGCAAGUCGAGCGAACCACUUCGGUGGUGAGCGGCGAACGGGUGAGUAACACGUAGGUGAUCUGCCCAUCAGACGGGGACAACGAUUGGAAACGAUCGCUAAUACCGGAUAGGACGAAAGUUUAAAGGUGCUUCUGGCACCGCUGAUGGGUGAGCCUGCGGCGCAUUAGCUAGUUGGUAGGGUAAAGGCCUACCAAGGCAACGAUGCGUAGCCGACCUGAGAGGGUGAACGGCCACACUGGGACUGAGACGCGGUCCAGACUCCUACGGGAGGCAGCAGUAGGGAAUCUUCCGCAAUGGGCGAAAGCCUGACGGAGCAACGCCGCGUGAGUGAUGAAGGUCUUCGGAUCGUAAAACUCUGUUAUUAGGGAAGAACAAAUGUGUAAGUAACUAUGCACGUCUUGACGGUACCUAAUCAGAAAGCCACGGCUAACUACGUGCCAGCAGCCGCAGUAA
rnacentral:rRNA from 1 species